UUUCAGUUCCUAUCUGGAACUUUCAUCAGGAUCAAACAUCUUUUGAUCCUGAUGAAAGUUCCAGAUAGGAACU
rnacentral:miRNA from 1 species